UGCACUCCAAGUCCGUAGACUCUAUCUUUAUUUAUUUUCAUGAGAAAUUAAAAAUAAUAUAUUUAAAUGAGCAAGAGAUGAAACAUACAACUUCUGCAAAAAAUAUUAAAAUGAAGUCAUAUUGAAAAAAUUACUAAAAUAUUUUAUUCUUUUAUUUACUCCACCGGCUGCCUGUAUCUAUAUUGAAGUCAUACAUACGGGCGUCGGUUGAGAAUCGAGUUGAGUUUGUUGCCACUACUCAAUUCUUCUUUGAUAUCCUUCCUGAAAUGUUGUUGACAAACAUUAUAUAAACAAAUUAAUUUUAACCAAGAAUAAAGGUAGUAUUGAAUUUAGAAUCUUACAUAUGUCUCUGAUGCACGCGGUUCGACCCAUGCUAGUAUUUCUCGGUUCAACGGCAUAGACUGGGAGCACCAUAUCAAAAUAUUUUCAUGCUUCUCCAUCUGACGGAUGACAUAGCACACCAUCUGGCCUUCUAUGUUCAUAAUGCUAUCUCAUAUGAAGAGCAGAAUUC
rnacentral:lncRNA from 1 species